UUGAGUUUUAUAACGGCCCAGUCAAAUCGUCCAAGCCAUGGCCAUAGAGCGCACAAUAUCCAGCUGUUGCGAAUGGUGUCAUUUAUUGGAAACUGGGUGCAAUCAAUUCUGUCUACUCCCUCCAAAGUUCCGGAGCCUUUUGAUCCCGUGCUAGAUUAGAGAUGCUGGGAAAGUUUGAGAUUUUGCCUCGAGAAGAAGCCGUCAAUCUCAAUUUCUCCCAGCCUACUUAAACCACUUGGUCGUGUUGCAAAGGAUGGCUUGAGCAGAGUUCAAAGCGGGGCUUCGUAUGAUGACCACGAAUCAUUUUUGCUCUUCGAGCGAGUUUUCGACUGCGUGUCCUUUCUUUUCUCCUCCAAUACAAGAGAUUUCUUCAAUGUAGGCGUGGAUUUCUAGACCUCCUGUGUCACCAAGGCUAUUAAUCUUGUCCAGAAGGUUUCAACUAAUGAGAAAAAGGGUUGUACUAUUCUUCAGAAUCUUGGAAAUUGUCCGCUUGAGCAAUUUUCAAGCUUUCUCAGAUUCCAUGCAAAUCCUAAGAAUAUUUUCCGGCCUUUUGUUGACAAGAUUCUUGAUCCGCUGUUGGAAUUGUUGGUUUUACUUAAUUCACAAGCAAAUUCUAUCAAGCACAAGCAGGCAGGAUCCACGUUGAAGAUUGCUCAAGAAAUUUUGUCAAACGGACUGUUUCAUCCACAACAUCUUAGUGGAUAUUUUGGGCUCAAGAAUUUGAAAGGUAUUGUCAAGGAUGUCAAAGGAAGCUACCAUAGGCAUCUAUUUGAGCGAUUCAAAGGAAUAAAAGCAGAAAGCAAGGCUGUAUUGCUUGCUGGGUUCGGUUACUUGCUUCAAUUGUUUGUUACCAGGGCUAGAAAUCAAAGAACAUCUUUAGCACCAAGGGGAACAUCCUUCAAAAGCCCACAAAAAACUAGCGAGGGCUGUGAAGAACCCCAGCAACAAGGAGAAUCCAUUUUUGAAGUGUUCAUGCAAUUUGUGGAGCCUUUGAUGUUAGAAUGUAUAUCAUAUUCGCAAAAGGACUUCUCUGAUUUAGGAGUCACAAAGCUAGUAGAAGUUCAUUGCAUGCUGAAGUCCAUCAAUGAAAUGCUAGCAACAGUUACUGAAGAGAAAAUUUAUGUCCCUACAGAGGACACCUCAGAAGGAUCUUAUCUCCAGUUCUUGCAAGAAAUUUACAGGGUCUUAAUCUUGAUGGCUGAAAAAUAUGAUUUCUGGGUGUCAGCUCUGCAUUUAGAAGAUGCAAACGUUAAGAAGAUGCUGCCUUUAAUGUUUGUGGAGAUUGUUGUUGCAGUUGGUCAUUUUCUAGAAAUAGAAUACAAGGUCAUGGGGAGUGACCUUGUAAAAUUAUGGUCAAUGAUUUUUGCUUUGUCUGCUAUCAAUGCAUCUUCCAAGGACAUCAAACCCUGCUUCCUACUAACCUCAAAGAUUUCAAGCCUUUCGUCCCAAGUGAUUCGUACAUUUAGUGAGCUUCGUCAGGUUGCGCACUCCAUUUGUACGCUGUGCAAUACUGUGAGAACAUUCAGAGCUGUUGCUGGUCCUGAUGUAGUACCAGGACCGUUUUCUGUGGUUUCUUUAUCCUCACAUAAAUGUUUCGAAUCACUGGCAACAUUGCUGAGCUCUCAAACACUGAGGGAUGCUAUUUGUACUUCCAUUAACUCAGUGCCAGAAGGACAGUCUAGUCGAUGCAUAGAGGAGCUUACAGUAGAUCUUACAGAUACAUUGAAAUGGAUGAAAAGUUGCGACGAGGUUGUAGAUUUGGAAUCACAGGGAGAGCCCCGCUUGACGUCCAGGCAGUCGGUUUUUCAUCAGAGAGCUGAACUUUUUGGAAGGUACUUAUCUGAACUAUACACAAGCGUGCUUGACUCAAUAACUGUGACCGCUUCAAAUACCACACUGGUUGCAAAAUCUGUUGAAAGGUUGGUCAACACAAUACGUCCCAACUUAAGUCAGUUGGUGAGAAAUGAAUCAAUUAAUUCAAGUGAGUUCAUUUCUUCAGUUGUAGGAAAGAACCUAUCUAACAAACAAUGUGCCAACUGGCAAAAGAUUCCUAGUUUGUCUUGGUUUUUUGCCUUCUUCUUUCGCAUAUAUACAUCAUGUAGAAGUCUGUAUCUGCAAUCUGUUGGCCUCAUGCCUCCAGAUUUAGCAAUAGAAGCAACAGAAUUAGUGGGGAAUUCAUUCAUUGUAUGCUGCGGAAAGGAAUGGACAAAUGCAUCCAAUAUUAUCGCUGAAGGCUACUUUGCUUGGAUUGUUGAAAGUGCAGGCUCCCUUUUGGAAGUCAUCGAAAUUUUAUCACAGUCCCUUCCAAAAAACCAGUCUGGUUUUACUAUGCUUUUUUACACCCUUCAUGUGAUGGCUCUGCAAAGACUCGAAGACCUUAACAGGCAGAUUAAUGCAUUUGACUUUUUGCUUGAAGAUGGCACACAGCAGUUUGAUACUGAGGAUAGGGGAAACACUGAGUUAUUAAAGGAUCCUUGCUGUCUGGAGGCUUCUCGACUAACCAGUUUUAUGAUGAACUAUGUGAGAAUAUUAUCUUCAGGAGGAACCGAUAGUAUUUCUUCCUGGGGUAUGAGUAUAUGCUCUUUAGAUGAAGAUUCUUUUCAUAUAGCAACUUGGCGGCUUCUGUGUGAAAACAUUGAUAUUUGGAGUUCUCAUGCAUCCAAGGACUUAAAGAACUUCUUUUCGAACCUGAUAAAGUUUUCUUUUGUUCAAAAGAGGUCAUGCAAUGAGGAGAGUAGUGACUGUCAAGAUUCAUACAGAGAAAUAACCUUGCAUACUAUUUCGGUGGAGCUUCUUUGUGAUACUAUCAUUUAUGACCAAAAGGUGUUAUUAAAGAAUUUGGCAUCAAGUUUUUGCAGUGCUCUCAAGAAAUCAAUAUCUUCUUUUAUCACCAGAGGAACGACUCGAUCUUAA
rnacentral:rRNA from 1 species